rnacentral:rRNA from 1 species
CAGCAGCCGCGGUAAUACGUAGGGUGCAAGCGUUAAUCGGAAUUACUGGGCGUAAAGCGUGCGCAGGCGGUUAUAUAAGACAGAUGUGAAAUCCCCGGGCUCAACCUGGGAACUGCAUUUGUGACUGUAUAGCUAGAGUACGGCAGAGGGGGAUGGAAUUCCGCGUGUAGCAGUGAAAUGCGUAGAUAUGCGGAGGAACACCGAUGGCGAAGGCAAUCCCCUGGGCCUGUACUGACGCUUAUGCACGAAAGCGUGGGGAGCAAACAGGAUUAGAUACCCGCGUAGUCCCUGUCUCUUAUAC